rnacentral:rRNA from 1 species
UACGGGGGGGGGCAAGCGUUGUUCGGAAUUACUGGCGUAAAGGGCUCGUAGGCGGCCAACUAAGUCAGACGUGAAAUCCCUCGGCUUAACCGGGGAACUGCGUCUGAUACUGGAUGGCUUGAAUCCGGGAGAGGGAUGCGGAAUUCCAGGUGUAGCGGUGAAAUGCGUAGAUAUCUGGAGGAACACCGGUGGCGAAGGCAAGAUCUCUGGGCCGUAACUGACGCUGAGGAGCGAAAGCAUGGGGAGCGAACAGGA